rnacentral:rRNA from 1 species
UAGUCUCUGAGAGAGAGUCACAGUACGUGAAGCCGUUUGCAGGUAAACGGGUGGCGUCAAGCUGCGAGCCCGGAGAAUUCAGCUGGCCAGAUUGUAGUGUACGCGCCUGUGGCGUUAAAGGGCCAGAGUAAGAUGUAGUGAUCUACUUCUCUUAUGGAGGUGGGACUAUAGCUGUGGCCUCGGUUGCAGUUAUAGUUACGUGUGCCGAUCGGUUGUCGGAGCGUGUCACUCAUCUGUUGGGCCGUCUGGUCAGUGCACUUUCUCUGUGGUGAACACCACGACCGGUGGUAUUGCCAGUCUACUAUGGUCACGUCGUGUCUUUCUGAUAGCCUUGCUUUCUUACUCUUAAUCUAAGGGGUAGAUUGUGAUGGCUGUCUGGGAGACGCGAUCGCAGAUGGAAUGGGUACACGGCGUAGCGGUGUCUGUGCAUUGCUACGUGUUAUCGUGUGUCCGCUAUCAACGUGGUAUAUAUGGGGUGGGCUGUAACCGCGCUCUUAUAUACCUCGGCGGACCAUAGUAGUAAAAAGUAACUGUGCAAGGCACCGUGUUUAUCCGCCUCAGUCGGCUAGUCAUUUCAUUUUAUUGGGGUGAUUAGUUGAUAAUGUAUCUAGCACGCAUGUUACAGAUGCCAUUGUUAGGGAUUUCAUACUUGUCUGUACACGUUAGACUUGGGUGGCGUGUUUGUCCACGUAAAGUAGAUCCGUUGGUGGUCUGAUGUGAGCAAUGGGCAGUGCUGUGUUUCCUCGGGUGCUAUUGUCUUUAAUGAUACCGUGGGCGAGAAUAGUCAGUGGUGCUGUGGUAGAUAGCUGCCUGACCCGACUGC